AUUGAACGCUGGCGGCAUGCUUUACACAUGCAAGUCGAGCGGCAGCGCGGGGCAACCUGGCGGCGAGCGGCGAACGGGUGAGUAAUGGAUAGGAACGUGUCCGGGAGUGGGGGAUAACUAGCCGAAAGGUUAGCUAAUACCGCAUAUUCUCUGUGGAGGAAAGCAGGGGACCGCAAGGCCUUGCGCUUCCGGAGUGGCCUAUCUCCGAUUAGCUAGUUGGUGAGGUAAAGGCUUACCAAGGCGAAGAUCGGUAGCUGGUCUGAGAGGAUGAUGAGCCACACUGGGACUGAGACACGGCCCAGACUCCUACGGGAGGCAGCAGUGGGGAAUUUUGGACAAUGGGCGAAAGCCUGAUCCAGCAAUGCCGCGUGUGUGAAGAAGGCCUUCGGGUUGUAAAGCACUUUUGUCCGGAAAGAAAUGGCUCUGGUUAAUACCUGGGGUCGAUGACGGUACCGGAAGAAUAAGGACCGGCUAACUACGUGCCAGCCGCCGCAGUAAGAC
rnacentral:rRNA from 1 species